ACCGGUAAGUGAUACAAAAUUAAUCCAUUUUUGCGCCUGUAAUCGAAAUCCAUUUUGACCAUUUUCCACCGUCUUCUCUUUUUAGCCGUUUUAUUGUCCCAGUGCCACUGUCGCCAUUCCCGCCGCAGCUGUUGCCGUCCAAUAGGUGCAUCCGUUCCGGCUCCGCAUUGAGUGACCAGCUCCGCCCUACCAACUACCGCUCCCGAUUUUGUUGCCGUUCCGGACGUUUCGUUUUCAGCCUUGGCUGGUUCCGCCCAGUAGGUGUUCCCGUUCCGACUUCCCCCACAACUACCGAACGCAGGUGAUAUAGAAGGGAGGAUCGAGCGGCGACUGAACCAUCUCCGCGAAAAAUUUGGGGAAUCAUCGCUACAACCUCAAAUUGUCGCAGUGGGCACGAGCAACUCAACAAAAGCAACGAUGGUUAUUUUU